UACGUAGGGUGCGAGCGUUUGUCCGGAAUUAUUGGGCGUAAAGAGCUCGUAGGCGGUGUGUCGCGUCGGCCGUGAAAACCUGGGGCUCAACUCUGGGCGUGCGGUCGAUACGGGCAUCACUGGAGUUCGGCAGGGGAGACUGGAAUUCCUGGUGUAGCGGUGAAAUGCGCAGAUAUCAGGAGGAACACCGGUGGCGAAGGCGGGGUCUCUGGGCCGGAUACUGACGCUGAGGAGCGAAAGCAUGGGUAGCGAACAGG
rnacentral:rRNA from 1 species